AGGAUGAACGCUGGCGGCGUGCCUAAUACAUGCAAGUCGAGCGAACGGACGAGAAGCUUGCUUCUCUGAUGUUAGCGGCGGACGGGUGAGUAACACGUGGAUAACCUACCUAUAAGACUGGGAUAACUUCGGGAAACCGGAGCUAAUACCGGAUAAUAUUUUGAACCGCAUGGUUCAAAAGUGAAAGACGGUCUUGCUGUCACUUAUAGAUGGAUCCGCGCUGCAUUAGCUAGUUGGUAAGGUAACGGCUUACCAAGGCAACGAUGCAUAGCCGACCUGAGAGGGUGAUCGGCCA
rnacentral:rRNA from 1 species